rnacentral:rRNA from 1 species
AUACGGAGGGUGCAAGCGUUAUUCGGAAUCACUGGGCGUAAAGGACGCGUAGGCGGGUUGGCAAGUCAGAUGUGAAAUCCUACAGCUUAACUGUAGAACUGCAUUUGAAACUGCUAACCUAGAGUAUGGGAGGGGGAGAUGGAAUUAGUGGUGUAGAGGUAAAAUCCGUAGAUAUCACUAGGAAUACCGAAAGCGAAGGCGAUCUCCUGGAACAUAACUGACGCUAAGGCGUAAAAGCGUGGGGAGCAAACAGGAUUAGAUACCCUAGUAGUCC